rfam:Schistosoma mattheei strain Denwood, Zambia genome assembly, scaffold: SMTD_scaffold0020416
UGACGAGUCCCAAACAGGACGAAACGCGCGUC